CCUACGGGGUGCAGCAGUGAGGAAUAUUGGUCAAUGGACGAGAGUCUGAACCAGCCAAGUAGCGUGAAGGAUGACUGCCCUAUGGGUUGUAAACUUCUUUUAUAUGGGAAUAAAAUGUUCCACGUGUGGGAUUUUGUAUGUACCAUAUGAAUAUGGAUCGGCUAACUCCGUGCCAGCAGCCGCGGUAAUACGGAGGAUCCGAGCGUUAUCCGGAUUUAUUGGGUUUAAAGGGAGCGUAGGUGGAUUGUUAAGUCAGUUGUGAAAGUUUGCGGCUCAACCGUAAAAUUGCAGUUGAAACUGGCAGUCUUGAGUACAGUAGAGGUGGGCGGAAUUCGUGGUGUAGCGGUGAAAUGCUUAGAUAUCACGAAGAACUCCGAUUGCGAAGGCAGUUCACUGGACUGCAACUGACACUGAGGCUCGAAAGUGUGGGUAUCAAACAGGAUUAGAUACCCUGGUAGUC
rnacentral:rRNA from 1 species